rnacentral:rRNA from 1 species
UACGUAGGGGGCAAGCGUUGUCCGGAAUCAUUGGGCGUAAAGAGCGUGUAGGCGGCCCGGUAAGUCCGCUGUGAAAGUCCAGGGCUCAACCCUGGGAUGCCGGUCGAUACUGCCGGACUAGAGUUCGGAAGAGGCGAGUGGAAUUCCCGGUGUAGCGGUGAAAUGCGCAGAUAUCAGGAGGAACACCGGUGGCGAAGGCGCACAUCUGGCCCGAUACUGACGCUGAGGCGCGAAAGCUAGGGGAGCAAACGGG